rnacentral:rRNA from 1 species
CUACGGGCGGCUGCAGUGGGGAAUAUUGCACAAUGGGCGCAAGCCUGAUGCAGCGACGCCGCGUGGGGGAUGAAGGCCUUCGUGUUGUAAACUCCUUUCGCUAGGGACGAAGCAUUAUGUGACGGUACCUGGCGAAGAAGCACCGGCUAACUACGUGCCAGCAGCCGCGGUAAUACGUAGGGUGCGAGCGUUGUCCGGAUUUACUGGGCGUAAAGGGCUCGUAGGUGGUGUGUCGCGUCGUCUGUGUAACCCAGGGGCUUAACUUUUGGUUGGCAGGCGAUACGGGCAUUGCUUGAGUGCUGUAGGGGAGACUGGAAUUCCUGGUGUAGCGGUGAAAUGCGCAGAUAUCAGGAGGAACACCGAUGGCGAAGGCAGGUCUCUGGGCAGUUACUGACGCUGAGGAGCGAGAGCAUGGGUAGCGAACAGGAUUAGAUACCCCUGUAGU